UUUCCUAAUGGUCAUAUUUACUAAAGCUUAAGGUCUAAAAUACUGAUGGCCUUUAAAUGAGCAACAUUCAUUUAAAGACAAACACACAAGUGUGAGACUACUAACUUUCCUGGCACAUUGUCCCUGUCUUCAAGACCUCUGGGCCUAUUAGGUUAUUUUUAGUUCCUAGUGGACAACAAGCUUCUGGAUAGGAGGCAUUGGAGAUCCACAUGGAUGAAAAGAGGAAGUCCUGAACAACAGUAAGGAUUAGAAAAACAAAUAAACUUGCAUUGAAGAGCUGGUGCCCUCAUAAUGAAGAGAAAAAUAAACCAAAGAUAGUUCUAGAGUCUAUGUGUCAAGAGUGCCCUGGUGGUGGUGGUGGUGGUGUAGUCAUCUUGUUACUUGUUGAAAUGCCUGAAUAAUGUCUUACUCAUAGUUUUGUAGAUGAGAAAAUUGAGGAAAAGAUGUUGCUGACUACUAAGGCUAAGCUCACUCAUCAGUUGAGACAGUAUUUCAACCCAAUCCAACUCUCUGGAGGCUAUACUCUUAAUCACUACCUAGUAAUGUCACCAAAAUCACAUGAUAUGAAGACAUUUUACUUUUAGAAUUUCCUUGGAUAUUAUUAAAACUGAUACUGCCUAGGCAGAGGUACCAGCAGAUUCUGGGGCUCCAAGAAACGACAAAGCCACCGGAUGGAAAGUACCACAGACUCCAGGAUUCCUUGUAUACUAUCAAGUGAGCAAUAAAGAAAUAUAUUAAACUUCA